UACGGAGGGUGCAAGCGUUAUCCGGAUUUACUGGGUUUAAAGGGUGUGUAGGCGGGUCUUUAAGUCAGUGGUGAAAUCUCCGAGCUCAACUUGGAAACUGCCAUUGAUACUAUUGAUCUUGAAUUUUGUUGAGGUAGGCGGAAUAAGUCAUGUAGCGGUGAAAUGCAUAGAUAUGACUUAGAACACCAAUUGCGAAGGCAGCUUGCUAAACAAAUAUUGACGCUGAGGCACGAACGCGUGGGGAUCAAACAGG
rnacentral:rRNA from 1 species